rnacentral:rRNA from 1 species
GUGGGGAAUAUUGCACAAUGGGCGGAAGCCUGAUGCAGCGACGCCGCGUGAGGGAUGACGGCCUUCGGGUUGUAAACCUCUUUCAGCAGGGACGAAGCGUAAGUGACGGUACCUGCAGAAGAAGCACCGGCUAACUAUGUGCCAGCAGCCGCGGUAAUACGUAGGGUGCGAGCGUUGUCCGGAAUUACUGGGCGUAAAGAGCUCGUAGGCGGUUUGUCACGUCGUCUGUGAAAUCCUAGGGCUUAACCCUGGACGUGCAGGCGAUACGGGCUGACUUGAGUACUACAGGGGAGACUGGAAUUUCUGGUGUAGCGGUGGAAUGCACAGAUAUCAGGAAGAACACCGAUGGCGAAGGCAGGUCUCUGGGUAGUAACUGACGCUGAGGAGCGAAAGCAUGGGUAGCGAACAGGAUUAGAUACCCUGGUAGUCC